GAACAGCGUGGAGCUGCAGGGCUGCAGCAGCGACAACAGCCUCAACAGUAAUGCCAGCCUGCCUAGUGUCCAGAGCCACCGGCGCCACACUGAGAGGAGAGUGGCCAGCUGGGCCGUGUGCUUUGAGAGACUGCUGCAGGACCCCGUGGGGGUCCGCUACUUCUCGGAGUUCCUAAAGAAAGAGUUCAGUGAAGAGAAUAUCCUGUUCUGGCAAGCGUGCGAAUUCUUCAGCCAUGUCCCUGAGAACGACAACAAACAGCUCUCUCAACGAGCCAGGGAGAUCUACAACACCUUCCUGUCCAGUAAAGCUACAACACCAGUUAACAUUGACAGUCAAGCUCAGCUUGCUGAUGACAUCCUCAAUGCCCCAAAACCCGACAUGUUCAAGGAGCAGCAA